CGGAUUGAAGCCCGCUGGAUUGGGUGUUUAGCUGUUAACUAAAAUCUUGUGGGAUCGAGGCCCACCUGUCUA
rnacentral:tRNA from 1 species